GAUGUUGACUACGGCUGGAAUAUUUGUCUUGUUGUCUAUUCUAGGAAAACUAAGUGGAAAUUUGGGUGAAAAUGUUGCCAGACUUGGACAAGUGGCUCAGUCUUCAACGUAUGGGAAUGCCAAACCCGAAAAUGCCAUUGAUGGGAAUCGUGCCAGCAACUACAACCAGGGAUCCUGUGCCUGUACAAACAACAACUUGAAUCCAUGGUGGAGACUUGACCUUUUGAAGACAUAUAAAAUCAACACUGUGACUAUCACCAACAGACAAGACUGUUGCCCUGAGAGGAUCAAUGGAGCUGAGAUCCGCAUUGGAAAUUCACUUAAUGACAAUGGCAAUGCGAAUCCCAGAUGUGCUGUAAUCUCAUCCAUCGCUGCUGGGGCAUCACAAACCUUUGCAUGCAAUGGAAUGGAAGGUCGCUACAUAAACAUCGUUAUUCCUGGGAGAACAGAAUACCUGACACUUUGUGAGGUGGAAGUUGAUGGUACACUUUCAGAGACUAAUGUUGCCAGACUUGGACAAGUGAGUCAGUCUUCAACGUAUGGGAAUGCCAAACCCGAAAAUGCCAUUGAUGGGAAUCGUGCCAGCAACUACAACCAGGGAUCCUGUGCCUGUACAAACAACAACUUGAAUCCAUGGUGGAGACUUGACCUUUUGAAGACAUAUAAAAUCAACACUGUGACUAUCACCAACAGACAAGACUGUUGCCCUGAGAGGAUCAAUGGAGCUGAGAUCCGCAUUGGAAAUUCACUUAAUGACAAUGGCAAUGCGAAUCCCAGAUGUGCUGUAAUCUCAUCCAUCGCUGCUGGGGCAUCACAAACCUUUGCAUGCAAUGGAAUGGAAGGUCGCUACAUAAACAUCGUUAUUCCUGGGAGAACAGAAUACCUGACACUUUGUGAGGUGGAAGUUGAUGGUACACUUUCAGAGACUAAUGUUGCCAGACUUGGACAAGUGAGUCAGUCUUCAACGUAUGGGAAUGCCAAACCCGAAAAUGCCAUUGAUGGGAAUCGUGCCAGCAACUACAACCAGGGAUCCUGUGCCCAUACAAACAACGACUUGAAUCCAUGGUGGAGACUUGACCUUUUGAAGACAUAUAAAAUCAACACUGUGACUAUCACCAACAGACAAGACUGUUGCCCUGAGAGGAUCAAUGGAGCUGAGAUCCGCAUUGGAAAUUCACUUAAUGACAAUGGCAAUGCGAAUCCCAGGUAAAUGAGCUACUCAUCUUUGAAACUUUGUCAU